AUAUCAGUAAGCGGAGGAAAAGAAACUAACAAGGAUUCCCCUAGUAAUGGCGAAUGAAGAGGGAAGAGCUCAAAUUUGAAACCUGUCAGGGCAACCUGUCCGGAUUGUAGUUUGGAGAAGUGUUUUCCGUGAUCCGCCGAGUCCAAGUUCCUUGGAACAGGGCAUCAAAGAGGGUGAGAAUCCCGUCUUUGGCUCGGCUGUGGUUACUCUGUGAUACACUUUCAAAGAGUCGAGUUGUUUGGGAAUGCAGCUCAAAAUGGGUGGUAAAUUUCAUCUAAAGCUAAAUAUUGGCCAGAGACCGAUAGCGCACAAGUA
rnacentral:rRNA from 1 species